GCCUGGCUGACUCAGUCUGGAGAGUGUGUGACUCUUGAUCUCAGGGUUGUGAGUUCAAGCCCCACGUUGGGCA
rnacentral:tRNA from 1 species